rnacentral:misc_RNA from 1 species
CAUCACCAAUACACUAAUGUGUUACAUGGGUAUCAAAAUUUAAAAUAACAUCAGGUAUAAAGAGGGAAAAGAGCAGACACCUGAUCUGAACAAAUAGGGAUUUCAACAGUUUCUAGAAAUUUUAUUCAUGUACUAAAUAUUUGAUUUCCAAAGUACUUAGUUCUGAUCAAUAAAAAUCAUGUAACACCUCAGUUAAAGAUGUUAUAACAUUUGGGAGAUUCAAAAUCAG